rnacentral:snRNA from 1 species
CCACUCUGGUUUCUUCUCAGAUUGUAUAAAUAUUUCACCUUUUACUAAAANUUUCUGUUGAGAGAAACAUUUAGGAGUUUCUAUCUAAUUUUUUUUGAGGCCUUG